rnacentral:rRNA from 1 species
CGUGGGUAACCUACCCAUCAGAGGGGGAUAACACUUGGAAACAGGUGCUAAUACCGCAUAACAGUUUAUGCCGCAUGGCAUAAGAGUGAAAGGCGCUUUCGGGUGUCGCUGAUGGAUGGACCCGCGGUGCAUUAGCUAGUUGGUGAGGUAACGGCUCACCAAGGCCACGAUGCAUAGCCGACCUGAGAGGGUGAUCGGCCACACUGGGACUGAGACACGGCCCAGACUCCUACGGGAGGCAGCAG